rnacentral:tRNA from 1 species
UCCCUGGAGGACUAGCGGUUAGGCCAUGGCACUCUCACCGCCACAGCUCGGGUUUGAUUCCUGGCCAGCGAA